rnacentral:rRNA from 1 species
CAUCGCCUCUUGCCUAAAUAUAAGAGGUCUAGCCUGCCCAGUGACAUAGUUUAACGGCCGCGGUACCCUAACCGUGCAAAGGUAGCAUAAUCACUUGUUCCUUAAAUAGGGACUCGUAUCAACGGCAUCACGAGGGCUGUACUGUCUCCUUUCUCCAAUCAGUGAAACUGAUCUCCCCGUGAAGAAGCGGGGAUAAACCUAUAAGACGAGAAGACCCCAUGGAGCUUUAAACCCAUCGCACACCUCUACGCACUCAAAUCAGUAUAGCCUAAGAAGCUUGUGCGUUGGUUUUAGGUUGGGGGGACCGCGGAGUAAAAUUAAACCUCCACGACAGACGGGCUAAUACCCUUAUCCAUGAACCACAAUUCUAAGAGCCAAUAAAUUGUUGUCUAAUGACCCAAUUACUUGAUCAACGAACCAAGUUACCCUGGGGAUAACAGCGCAAUCUACUUCAAGAGCCCCUAUCGACAAGUAGGUUUACGACCUCGAUGUUGGAUCAGGGUAUCCUAGUGGUGCAGCCGCUACUAAAGG